UGCGCAGGCGGGCCGAUAAGUCGGGGGUUAAAUCCAUGUGCUUAACACAUGCAUGGCUUCCGAUACUGUCGGCCUAGAGUCUCGAAGAGGAAGAUGGAAUUUCCGGUGUAACGGUGGAAUGUGUAGAUAUCGGAAAGAACACCAGUGGCGAAGGCAGUCUUCUGGUCGAGCACUGACGCUCAGGCACGAAAGCGUGGGGAGCAAACA
rnacentral:rRNA from 1 species